AACGAACGCUGGCGGCAUGCCUAACACAUGCAAGUCGAACGAGACCUUCGGGUCUAGUGGCGCACGGGUGCGUAACGCGUGGGAAUCUGCCCUUGGGUUCGGAAUAACAGUUAGAAAUGACUGCUAAUACCGGAUGAUGACUUCGGUCCAAAGAUUUAUCGCCCAGGGAUUAGCCCGCGUAGGAUUAGCUUGUUGGUGAGGUAAAAGCUCACCAAGGCGACGAUCCUUAGCUGGUCUGAGAGGAUGAUCAGCCACACUGGGACUGAGACACGGCCCAGACUCCUACGGGAGGCAGCAGUGGGGAAUAUUGGACAAUGGGCGAAAGCCUGAUCCAGCAAUGCCGCGUGAGUGAUGAAGGUCUUAGGAUUGUAAAAUCCUUUCACCGGUGAAGAUAAUGACUGUAGCCGGAGAAGAAGCCCCGGCUAACUUCGUGCCAGCAGCCGCUGUAA
rnacentral:rRNA from 1 species